rnacentral:misc_RNA from 1 species
UAAUGGAGGGUGGUUCCAAUAGCACUUCUUGUAUGAUGGCUUUUGGAGACAACAGUGAUGGACUAUGUCCUAUGAUGAUGAUGAUGCCUCUCAUGACUUCUCAUCAUCAUCCGCCUCCUCCCCCUCCACCUCCUAACGGAGACUCAUCAUCAAAUACCCUAUUCCUUCCUCUCCCUUCCACCAACAAUCAACACCAAAACCGUAAUAGUGGCUAGUGGCUCUUCUGUGCUUCUUGACGAACACAACCACUAUUACGGUUUUGGUGUUGAUUGU